rnacentral:rRNA from 1 species
AUUGAACGCUGGCGGCAUGCCUUACACAUGCAAGUCGAACGGCAGCGGACCUUCGGGUGCCGGCGAGUGGCGAACGGGUGAGUAAUAUAUCGGAACGUACCUUUCAGUGGGGGAUAACGUAGCGAAAGUUACGCUAAUACCGCAUAUUCUGUGAGCAGGAAAGCAGGGGAUCGCAAGACCUUGCGCUGAUUGAGCGGCCGAUAUCAGAUUAGCUAGUUGGUGAGGUAAAGGCUCACCAAGGCGACGAUCUGUAGCGGGUCUGAGAGGAUGAUCCGCCACACUGGGACUGAGACACGGCCCAGACUCCUACGGGAGGCAGCAGUGGGGAAUUUUGGACAAUGGGCGCAAGCCUGAUCCAGCCACGCCGCGUGAGUGAAGAAGGCCUCGGUUGUAAGACUCUUCGUCAAGGAAGAAAACGGACGAAGGUUAAGUAACCUUUACGUUCGGUCGUGACGGUACC